GACGAACGCUGGCGGCGUGCCUAAUACAUGCAAGUAGAACGCUGAAGGAGGAGCUUGCUUCUCCGGAUGAGUUGCGAACGGGUGAGUAACGCGUAGGUAACCUGCCUGGUAGCGGGGGAUAACUAUUGGAAACGAUAGCUAAUACCGCAUAACAGUAGAUGUUGCAUGACAUUUGCUUAAAAGGUGCAAUUGCAUCACUACCAGAUGGACCUGCGUUGUAUUAGCUAGUUGGUGAGGUAACGGCUCACCAAGGCGACGAUACAUAGCCGACCUGAGAGGGUGAUCGGCCAAACUGGGACUGAGACACGGCCCAGACUCCUACGGGAGGCAGCAGUAGGGAAUCUUCGGCAAUGGACGGAAGUCUGACCGAGCAACGCCGCGUGAGUGAAGAAGGUUUUCGGAUCGUAAAGCUCUGUUGUAAGAGAAGAACGAGUGUGAGAGUGGAAAGUUCACACCGUGACGGUAUCUUACCAGAAAGGGACGGCUAACUACGUG
rnacentral:rRNA from 1 species